rnacentral:rRNA from 1 species
CCUACGGGGGGCAGCAGUGAGGAAUAUUGGUCAAUGGACGAGAGUCUGAACCAGCCAAGUAGCGUGAAGGAUGACUGCCCUAUGGGUUGUAAACUUCUUUUAUAUGGGAAUAAAAUGUUCCACGUGUGGGAUUUUGUAUGUACCAUAUGAAUAAGGAUCGGCUAACUCCGUGCCAGCAGCCGCGGUAAUACGGAGGAUCCGAGCGUUAUCCGGAUUUAUUGGGUUUAAAGGGAGCGUAGGUGGAUUGUUAAGUCAGUUGUGAAAGUUUGCGGCUCAACCGUAAAAUUGCAGUUGAAACUGGCAGUCUUGAGUACAGUAGAGGUGGACGGAAUUCGUGGUGUAGCGGUGAAAUGCUUAGAUAUCACGAAGAACUCCGAUUGCGAAGGCAGUUCACUGGACUGCAACUGACACUGAGGCUCGAAAGUGUGGGUAUCAAACAGGAUUAGAUACCCUUGUAGUC